rnacentral:lncRNA from 1 species
ACCUGAAAUGCUUCUAGGUAGAGUUAGCUGAAGUAGAAAAACCAGAUGAUAGAUUGGCCACUAUGGCAUUAAAAAAAAAAAACCUUUACGUUCAUUCGCCACUAUUUCCUGAAGUUAAACAAGAGAAAAUACGACUAGGCUAUCUUAGCAGAGUGUUUCGACAUCACUAAUGACCUUACGGACUGAGAUGACAAAACUAGAAGAACAAUGGCCGAACCCAGAUUCUCGAAGGACGGAAAAAAUAAGAAGCAACAGGGACACCCCACCUCAUUCUCCACGCCAGAUAACUAGGGGAGGAUGUCAAAACAAACAAGCUCCAACAAAACCAAAACAUUACACCGCACUAAACACUACUAUCAACAACAACAUCCUUCACAGUAUCAAGGACAAGUCAUUCUUGAAAUAGCCAAAGCCACUCCCAGACCACCUUGAUUAAAAAAUACCCAAUGAGUAAUGCUUUUUUCACAAAAAACACUAGACAUGCUACCAGAGGUUGUCGAAUGCUGAUGGACCACAUCAAUGAGCUACUCGACCAGGGGCAUUGUUGGAAAUUUGUAAGAGAUAAGGCAAGAAAAAACAGGCUUUGCCGAACCUGAAGGGAGGGAUUAAGCUGACAAGCAUAUGGACGAUAAAGAUCAACGCUUGAUGAAAAAGCCCACGUUCAAUAUAAACUGCAUUAAUGGAGAAUAUAGGACCUCGAAAAGAAGAAAUCUGGUGCCCAUUACCUUAAGAUGUGCUCCUUGCCG